rnacentral:rRNA from 1 species
UACGGAGGGUGCGAGCGUUGUCCGGAAUCACUGGGCGUAAAGGGCGCGUAGGCGGUUCGUUAAGUUGCUGGUGAAAUCCCGGGGCUCAACUCCGGGGCUGCCAGUAAGACUGGCGGGCUAGAGCACGGUAGAGGCAGAUGGAAUUCCCGGUGUAGCGGUGGAAUGCGUAGAUAUCAGGAAGAACACCCGUGGCGAAGGCGGCUCUCUGGGACGGUACUGACGCUGAGACGCGAAAGCGUGGGGAGCGAACAGG